rnacentral:lncRNA from 1 species
AUGAGUUCGGGGGCCGGGGGCCGAGGCCAGGAGGCACCGCCGAGCACGCUGGGGCCGCCGCUGCAGGGCGCUUCUCCGCGCCGCGAUCCCGCUGCCUCGCAGCAGCCUCCAGCGGCAACAACAACGGGACCGGGAGCGCGCGGCCCGGGCCCUCCCCCCGCGUCAUGCGCACGCACCGCCGCCCCCGCCAGCUCCGGCACACGCAGCCCGAGCCCCCCUCCCCGCCGCCCCCGCCCCUCCUGCGCGCCGGCCCCAGCGCCCCCGCCCCUCGCUCGCUCGCUGGCUCUGCAGCCUCCACCCCCGAGCCGCGCGCUCCAGCCCCGGCGCCCGGGCCCCUCCCACCUAGCCUUGGCCCUUCCGCCUGCUCUCCAGCCCCCACCCCCACCCGCCGCGAGGGCCACCGGCUCCAAGUGGACAGCUGCUCUGGCCUCCUCCCGGCCCCGGCUGGCUCUUUCGCCGCCCUGCUCCCGUCUGGGUGGGGUGUCCGAUCUUUGGGCAGUGCCCGAGCCGUGCCCGGCGCCUGAGGGUGCUGAUGAACGCGGCCGAUUGGCCGAGAAGGGCCGCCAGCCCAGGCACAGCUGCGCCUCACUUACGCGGUCCUGCCUUUCAUGCUGCACGGGAUCCCCGGUUCCCGCCCGAGAUCAUCCGUGGAGACCACCCUGUGCCCCAGGUGCUCUCUCUGGUCCUCCCUGGACUCUCGGCUGCGGGCUGCAGCACAGAGCCUGGAAAUCUGGGUUCCCGGCUUCUAUUUCCAGUUCUCCCAGGGAGCUUCAUCAGCAAGGCCUUUGGAAAUGGCACUGUAAGCAACAGCCCCCACUCAUCUUCAGGCUUCUCCUAAAAGACUCCCCUGUGGGACUGGGGUGGUUCACUACCACUGCCCUGGACCCACUGGUACAUGGGCAAAGAAGAGAGAGGAAUCCAAUAUUAUGCCUUCUUCCCCACUCAUCGCAUUCAAGAGAUUCACCAGAGACCUCAUGGCUCUCUUCAUUGUCCUCAAUCCCUUGCCCAUCUUGUGUUCCUUGUCCACCCUUUCAGGGGCCAGGGAGCUACCUUUGA